GAGUAUGCUAGGCGUGGCCACCUGGUUUCCCUCUCCCAUUCAACCUGAGCACCUGCAGCUGAUCUACUAAUCAACUUUACAAGCCACAGCAGUAUAAAGCCCCAGUUCAUCUCUCCAGACUCUGCCAAAUUGUUCAGUCACCAAUGUGGUUCACCACGCCAGCUUCCAGUACACCUGCUAUGUCAGCCUCGUCCUCGCCUGCUGUAUGCCUGUUUGGAUAGUGGAUUUCCUGUCUGCUCUGCCCUGCCUUGAGCCCCUCUGCCUGCCUCAGUCCUUCGCCCUGCACCGCUGCCUGCUUCGCUCUCCCAUAUCCAAACCCAAAGAACACUCAGCUAAGCAAUCAGAUCUAUCUAAUGUAGCUCAAGCUACAUUAAACUGCCCUUUAACCAUU